ACUAAACUUUACAGAAGGCCGCGUCGUAGAGUAUAACUACCCAUCACCUCUGUCGGCUUUAGGUUUUCUCCUCUCAGCUUUCCCUAAACUCCCUCGCCCCCACUCUUCUCUUCUUUUGAGCUCCAACGAAACGGCGGCGGAUCAUCUGCACUCGAUCGCCGGAAACUAAGAAGAGAAGAUGGCGGCGCCGGAAGCUCCAGUCAAGUACGUCGGAAUCCUAAAGGAAUCCGCCGCUUUCCGGCUAAUGAAAUCAAUGGGAUGGGAAGAAGGAGAAGGACUUGGUAAAGACAAGCAAGGGAUCAAAGGAUAUGUCCGAGUCAAGAACAAGCAAGACACAACCGGUGUUGGUGUUGAUAAGCCUAAUCCAUGGGCAUUUGAUACUACUCAGUUCGAUAACAUUCUCAAGAAACUCAAAGUGCAAGCAGCACCUAUCAAGAACGAUGAUGCUUCGGAGAAGGAAGCUGAAAGUGAAGACGAAGGUGGCAAAUCUGAUGAGCCUGUCAAGUCCAAUGUUGCUAAGGUUACUCGUCCACAAGGAAGGUAUAAACGUAGGGAGAAGGGGAAGCUUGUCAAUUCAUACUCUUCUAAAGAUCUUGAAGGAAUACUUGUUAAGCGAACUGAGGAGCCUUCUCCUGCGGUUUGUGACAUAGCCGAUGCUAUGGAGAUUGAAAUUAUCUCCGAGGACCAAUAUCCUGAUGUUAAAGAACAGAAAAUCGAAGAACCUUCUUCAGACUGGUGGGGAUUUAAAUCCGGGUUUGUCUCGGGCGGUCUCCUUGGAGCUAAGCCUGGCAAAAAGAAAUCAUCGAAAUCUAAAGAGAGAAAAAUGUUUUGUGAGGACGAUCAAGAGAACCUUUACAACAUGGUUCAGGAUAAAGCCACGGCUGGAAAACAAGGACUGGGUAUCAAGGACCGGCCUAAGAAAAUAGCUGGUGUUCGUUACCAAGGAAAGAAAACUUCUUUUGAUAACAGUGAUGAUGAUGAUACUGACGAAGAGGAAGAGGAGGAAGAAGAUGACGAGGACUCUGUUAUUGAAAAUGCUCUCCCAGCAAAACGGAAGCGCGAAGAGAGUGAAGAAGAAGAUGACAAGGACUCUGUUAUCCCAAAAAGGAAGCGGGAUGAGAUCACUGAACCCAAAAUCAAGUUGAAGAACCUGUGCAAGCAGAUUCUUAAAAAGGACGCUGGUAGUAGUGGAUCGAUGAAGCUGAAACAGCUUAAAUCUCUAAUUGAUGAACAAGCACCAUCAGUUCUCUCUAAGUUUUCUUCAAGGAAAGAUGCUAUUGCUUACUUAAAACUUAAGCUUGGGGGAAGUGGGAAGUUUAUUAUGGAGGGAAAGAAGAUCAGCCUCGUAUCAAGGAAGAAGUGAGGACAAUUAUCCGUUAUACCUGCAUAGGACAGUGGAGAUUAGGGCAAGUUUUGUUACUGAAUCAUCACCAUGCCAUAUGUAUAACAAAUAUCUUUCAUUUUGAAAUUUUGAUGUGUUUGUAAUUUUAUUCAUACAUUAUAUUUAUGAGAGUCUGCAUAAAACUUCACCAUAAUAUAGAACAAACUCUUCUCUAUUGUGCUUGUGGAAAUUAAACGCUGGUGUGUUUUUAGUGUUAUAUGUAUUUGCCCUG